rnacentral:rRNA from 1 species
CUACACAUGCAGUCGAGCGGUAGAGAGAAGCUUGCUUCUCUUGAGAGCGGCGGACGGGUGAGUAAUGCCUAGGAAUCUGCCUGGUAGUGGGGGAUAACGUUCGGAAACGGACGCUAAUACCGCAUACGUCCUACGGGAGAAAGCAGGGGACCUUCGGGCCUUGCGCUAUCAGAUGAGCCUAGGUCGGAUUAGCUAGUUGGUGGGGUAAUGGCUCACCAAGGCGACGAUCCGUAACUGGUCUGAGAGGAUGAUCAGUCACACUGGAACUGAGACACGGUCCAGACUCCUACGGGAGGCAGCAGUGGGGAAUAUUGGACAAUGGGCGAAAGCCUGAUCCAGCCAUGCCGCGUGUGUGAAGAAGGUCUUCGGAUUGUAAAGCACUUUAAGUUGGGAGGAAGGGCAGUAAAUUAAUACUUUGCUGUUUUGACGUUACCGACAGAAUAAGCACCGGCUAACUCUGUGCCAGCAGCCGCGGUAAUACAGAGGGUGCAAGCGUUAAUCGGAAUUACUGGGCGUAAAGCGCGCGUAGGUGGUUAGUUAAGUUGGAUGUGAGAUCCCCGGGCUCAACCUGGGAACUGCAUUCGAAACUGACUGACU